UACGUAGGGUGCGAGCGUUACUCGGAAUUACUGGGCGUAAAGCGUGCGCAGGCGGUUCGUUGUGUCGGCGGGGAAAGCCCCGGGCUUAACCUGGGAAUGGCCGUUGAAACUGGCGAACUGGAGUGUGGCAGAGGGGGGUGGAAUUCCGCGUGUAGCAGUGAAAUGCGUAGAGAUGCGGAGGAACACCGAUGGCGAAGGCAGCCCCCUGGGCUAACACUGACGCUCAGGCACGAAAGCGUGGGGAGCAAACAGG
rnacentral:rRNA from 1 species